ACACACAAGCCUGAAAGAUGAAAGAUACGGUGUUUAUACUUCUCCCUAGGAAGAGCCAUAGGCCUUGGGCCCCACCGAGGAAUCUUCAGUGUUUGAAUUUUAAGAUUUGCCUCCAAUAUGAAAUGAGAGGACUUUGCCUUCACUACUCAGCUUGAAGAAAGAGGAAGAGAUUUAUUUGGGGUGGAGAAUGUGAAGCCGUCCCAGUGACUGCCUCUUCCAUGAAUUGUCUUUCUGUUCCAAGGCAAUGACCUCAGUGUUGUCAACUAGGAGGCACCUGAGCUAGUAAGGAGAAGCCAGGCAAGAGAGAGAUUCGCCUCAUCCCCACUGGUUAAAUAUUUUGCUCAUAAAAAAUUUUGGAAAUAUAUUUAUUAAGGAUAACUAUGUGCAACAGUUUCUAAAAUGUCAUUUGGGAUGUUGCACGAGUGAUCAAUGUUAGGGUGGCAUGAAAAUCCUGAACUGUAUCUAGCAGGCUUUAGCAGCUGAAGGCAUUUUGUUUAAUACUGUAAAUACAG
rnacentral:lncRNA from 1 species